UCCUCCAGACGCACCCCAAUCAGCCCAUCUUGGAUUGUCUCUGGGAGAAUUGUGGAGCGCAAGAAACCCGGCAGGUUUCCGACUCACUGACGGGCUGAGACCCUGAUCCUGUAACCUCUGUCUUUGACCUAUAAAAUGGGUGCAAGACCUGCCUCUUGGAGCUGGUGCAGGAUUCAAAGGAGAUCACGAAUGGGAGAUACAUCUGAGCUCUCCUCAUGCUGCCCUUAAUCGAGGUAGGGAAGAGAAGAGGCGGAAGAAACUUGAGAGGAAGAUCAGUCCGACAAGCAGUUGUAUGACUGAGCUGAGAAUCAUGGGAUACGACAUUUUUGAAGACUCAGAACGCUGCGUCACCCAGACAGACGUGGACUUGCAGGUGCGAGUGGGUGACUGCAUCACCCAGGGGAAGCAGUGAAAGGUUUCACCAGCCGUGCAUUACCGGGAAAGGUAGGCUGGUUACGAAGCUAUGAAGUUGGAGGUGGCUCACAGUGUCGGGAGAGCUCUGGGAAGGCCUCCCAGCAUGUUGGUGGAAGAUUUGUAGGACAGUAUGGGCAAGAUCCUUCAAAAUGGUGAAGAUGCCACAGGUCUGAUCACGUUCCUCCUCUGCUCAAACACCUCCAAGGAUUCCCUGUCGCCUAAGAUAAGACGCAGAGCCCUCUGCCUGGCCUGGAAUAAAACCUCCACUGUUUUGGCUCCA